rnacentral:rRNA from 1 species
UUAGGCCUAACACAUGCAAGUCGAGCGCCCUCUUCGGAGGGAGCGGCGGACGGGUUAGUAACGCGUGGGAACGUGCCCUUCGCUACGGAACAACAGCUGGAAACGGCUGCUAAUACCGUAUGCGCCCUACGGGGGAAAGAUUUAUCGGCGAAGGAUCGGCCCGCGUUGGAUUAGGUAGUUGGUGGGGUAACGGCCUACCAAGCCUACGAUCCAUAGCUGGUUUGAGAGGAUGAUCAGCAACACUGGGACUGAGACACGGCCCAGACUCCUACGGGAGGCAGCAGUGGGGAAUCUUGGACAAUGGGGGCAACCCUGAUCCAGCCAUGCCGCGUGAGCGAUGAAGGCCUUAGGGUUGUAAAGCUCUUUCACCGGUGAAGAUAAUGACGGUAGCCGGAGAAGAAGCCCCGGCUAACUCCGUGCCAGCAGCCGCGGUAAUACGGAGGGGGCUAGCGUUGUUCGGAAUUACUGGGCGUAAAGCGCACGUAGGCGGGCUGUUAAGUCGGGGGUGAAAUCCCGGGGCUCAACCCCGGAACUGCCCUCGAUACUGGCAGCCUAGAGAUCGAGAGAGGCGAGUGGAAUACCGAGUGUAGAGGUGAAAUUCGUAGAUAUUCGGUGGAACACCAGUGGCGAAGGCGGCUCGCUGGCUCGAUACUGACGCUGAGGUGCGAGAGCGUGGGGAGCAAACAGGAUUAGAUACCCU